ACGAGUAUGCAACUAUGUCAAACUCAUAUACGUCAGGUCAAAGUGCAGCUAAUGAAAGGGGCGACGAUGGGUUACACCCUAAAUAAAGAUACGAAAUAUGGCACCAAAAGCCACAUGAAGGUGGACUUGGACGUAACAAAAAUACAAAAUUAAAAUGAAAACGAAUCUGAGACAUGCACACAUCGCCCGUCACUCUUGCCCAAAGGUGAGAUAAGUCGUAACAAAGUAGGUGUAACGGAAGUUGCACCUGU
rnacentral:rRNA from 1 species